UUCAACAACGGAUCUCUUGGUUCUCGCAUCGAUGAAGAACGCAGCGAAAUGCGAUAAGUAAUGUGAAUUGCAGAAUUCAGUGAAUCAUCGAAUCUUUGAACGCACAUUGCGCCCCUUGGUAUUCCGAGGGGCAUGCCUGUUCGAGCGUCAUUACACCACUCAAGCACUGCUUGGUAUUGGGCACUCGUCCGUCGAAAGACGGGCGUGCCUCGAAGACCUCGGCGGGGUUUCUCCAACUUCGGGCGUAGUAGAGUUAAAUCAAAACGUCUUAUAAGCUUGGUGAGAUCUCAUUGCCGUUAAACC
rnacentral:rRNA from 1 species